rnacentral:rRNA from 1 species
AGUGAACGCUGGCGGUAGGCCUAACACAUGCAAGUCGAACGGCAGCACAGUAAGAGCUUGCUCUUACGGGUGGCGAGUGGCGGACGGGUGAGGAAUACAUCGGAAUCUACUUUUUCGUGGGGGAUAACGUAGGGAAACUUACGCUAAUACCGCAUACGACCUACGGGUGAAAGCAGGGGAUCUUCGGACCUUGCGCGAUUGAAUGAGCCGAUGUCGGAUUAGCUAGUUGGCGGGGUAAAGGCCCACCAAGGCGACGAUCCGUAGCUGGUCUGCGAGGAUGAUCAGCCACACUGGAACUGAGACACGGUCCAGACUCCUACGGGAGGCAGCAGUGGGGAAUAUUGGACAAUGGGCGCAAGCCUGAUCCAGCCAUACCGCGUGGGUGAAGAAGGCCUUCGGGUUGUAAAGCCCUUUUGUUGGGAAAGAAAAGCAGCAGGUUAAUACCCCGCUGUUCUGACGGUACCCAAAGAAUAAGCACCGGCUAACUUCG